GAUGAACGCUGGCGGCGUGCCUAAUACAUGCAAGUCGAGCGAACGGACGAGAAGCUUGCUUCUCUGAUGUUAGCGGCGGACGGGUGAGUAACACGUGGAUAACCUACCUAUAAGACUGGGAUAACUUCGGGAAACCGGAGCUAAUACCGGAUAAUAUUUUGAACCGCAUGGUUCAAAAGUAAAAGACGGUCUUGCUGUCACUUAUAGAUGGAUCCGCGCUGCAUUAGCUAGUUGGUAAGGUAACGGCUUACCAAGGCACCGAUGCAUAGCCGACCUGAGAGGGUGAUCGGCCACACUGGAACUGAGACACGGUCCAGACUCCUACGGGAGGCAGCAGUAGGGAAUCUUCCGCAAUGGGCGAAAGCCUGACGGAGCAACGCCGCGUGAGUGAUGAAGGUCUUCGGAUCGUAAAACUCUGUUAUUAGGGAAGAACAUAUGUGUAAGUAACUGUGCACAUCUUGACGGUACCUAAUCAGAAAGCCACGGCUAACUACGUG
rnacentral:rRNA from 1 species